AUGCUUAUUUAUACCCACCCCCAGUUUUCUUCUUUUUCUCAUCCCCAAAAUCCUCUACAAUCUCUGAACGCCACGGAGUGGCCAAUUUUCUCUCUCCUCCCAAGAGACUCAUCACACUCACUCACGAAACCGCUCGCACACUAACCCUAACCCUACAGAGAGCACUUCCCCGACGCUUGGGAUUCGCAUCUCUGCCACAGCGCCACUUGCGGUGGCCGUUGCUGUUUCCUCGCCUUGGAGCCUCAUUCACCUGCACAGAUUGUGGUCUCUCUUCCAACGUGUGGUUCCUCUGAGAAACCUCUCAUUCUCUGGUCCCUCCUCCAGCAUUUUAGAAAUUGUUCUCUUUUCCAACAUCGUAGUCCCCUCCAUCUCUCUGUUGGACACAAAAAAUAGGUUCGAAGUGUCGGUUAUCUUUGAUAUAAGAGGUCAAGUGAAAGAUCAUUUCCAGCUUAGCACUGAUUUCUGAAUGAUGCCAUGAAGUGCCUUAAUCCAACUAUUGUGUCCACAAGCGUUUUGCCAUUCAAUUUCUGCAUUUUCGCUGAUUACUAUCUUUUAGCUAUGUUGUUAUCUGCUUUUGUCUAGAUAACAGAUUAGGGUUCUUCGCGAACAUCGUUGUGUAGCCUAAUUGAAUAGUUGAUUAGACAAAUUUAUUUGGAAUGUAUUCAUGAUUAUGCUAUAAUUCAAUUAUUUAUAAUU